rnacentral:rRNA from 1 species
GUCGUCAGCUCGUGUCGUGAGAUGUUGGGUUAAGUCCCGCAACGAGCGCAACCCUUGUCAUUAGUUGCCAUCAUUGGUUGGGCGACUCUAAUGAGACUGCCGGUGACAAACCGGAGGAAGGUGGGGAUGACGUCAAGUCCUCAUUGGCCCUUAUGGUAGGGCUUCACACGUCAUACAAUGGUCGGUACAGAGGGUUGCCAACCCGCGAGGGGGAGCUAAUCCCACAAAGCCGAUCGUAGUCCGGAUCGCAGUCUGCAACUCGACUGCGUGAAGUCGGAAUCGCUAGUAAUCGUGGAUCAGCAUGUCACGGUGAAUACGUUCCCGGGUCUU